rnacentral:rRNA from 1 species
UACGAAGGGGGCUAGCGUUGCUCGGAAUGACUGGGCGUAAAGGGCGCGUAGGCGGUUUGUACAGUCAGGUGUGAAAUUCCCGGGCUCAACCUGGGGGCUGCACUUGAUACGUAGGAACUUGAGUGGGGAAGAGGGUCGUGGAAUUCCCAGUGUAGAGGUGAAAUUCGUAGAUAUUGGGAAGAACACCGGUGGCGAAGGCGGCGACCUGGUCCUUGACUGACGCUGAGGCGCGAAAGCGUGGGGAG